CUCACCUCGGGGCUUCCUGUUACAAGACCAUAAAAGACUUUGCUUGAUGGCGCUAGUGCUGCACUGCUGAGCUUCUUCCUUCUUCCCCGAGAGACAAAAUGAUCUUUUUAGGCUGCUGUGACAACUGACGGCUCAUUUCUGAGUGGAAGAGCUUCAAAUCAGUGAGUGAAACGUCAACAAUUAAGGUACGCGAAGACUGCUUGGGAUCAUUCACUCUGAACCAAACUUCAGAUCUACUCUUGUAUGCCUUCGCUGAAAUUUACUGACAUUUAUAGAAGAACAGAUGUGCUGUUGCUCGUGGAUAUGAGAAACAAAGACUUCACUGAGAGCAAGUGUGACCAAACAACACAUGUGUGAUUAAAUUAAGAAACCAGGUACACGGCAUAAAAUUUACACCUGUUGACAUUCCUGCCUGCAAGGGUAUUUACUGCAUCUUUUAAUGACUAUGUAAUUCCUCAGUAUUGGGUCACACCACAUCCAGCUUCGAGCGUCACCUUGAGUUUAUCUCCAGUCCACAAAACCAUAAGGUUUGACUGACUGUAUCACACUCAGUUUUUAUACAAGUUUGGUGCUUUCCUCAGAUUUAGAAACACCAGCCAGAGUACUUGAAGCCAACUUUGCAGUCUUGUCUCCAACAGUAUGUGUCUCCACCACAAAGACAGACUGAGAGGGUGAAACAUGUACCAUCCACAUAUUGCAGCUAGUAAUUAGUGGUAACCUUAUGCAAUAAGCCCAUCUACAUUGUCAGUUAGCUAUCAUUCGUUUGGAUUAAACAGAUAUUCCAGUGAGCUAGUACGAGUAUAUCUUGUUGUUUCUGAAGAUGUUCUGAAAUCUCCGAAACGCCUGGAAAUUAUGUAGCAGGUGUUUGCAACUUCCUGCAAAAUUUAAAAUCCAUCUGAUAUUGGUGCCCCUUGAACUCUGAAUAAAACUAUGUAAUUUACUUCUAAAAACACAGAACUUUCCAGAAGUAGAAGCAUAAAUGUUUAAAUUGGAACACAAUUUUGUUGUGGCUUAAUUUUAAAUGUAAAAAGUUGCCGCUGAGAUCUUAUGGCAGCUUUAUAAUAAUAACUUAGAAAUUAGUGCGGCAGAAUUUUAGGGAAGUUUUAUGAGUUGCCCCAGGAAUGUGGACUGGGUGAUGUUUCAUUUUCAUGUUAUCAAGAAGGUAUGCGGUGAGAAGCAAAUCCUCUGGGCCAUGUCAUAAAAAUGCCAAGGCUGAAAACUCUCAGCAAGUACAAAAAAAAAAACCUUUGUUCUUUAUAAUGUCAUCCAAUGCCACAGGGUUUCAGCAAAUAGCUUACCUUACUUUUAUUAAACCUUCAAUCUCAUGUUUUUUUUGUCUGUCUGUUUGUGCAACACAAACAUAAGUUAGUUCAUAAGCUGCAUUACUUGCCACAAAACAGUGAAGUAAAAAUCUACCUGUGAUAUGUUGAUGAAUGAAGUUAUCGGGUACUCUGGUCCCAGCAAAGAACAGUAGAGCUAGUUUCUUUUGUAUGAUUUCUAAACAUCCCCUGUCCUCGUUUGGAUUUUCAUGGACUCCCCAACAGGCUCACCUCAACCUUGAGUUCCAGCCAGUGUGUCAGGAAAUGUGUGUCUCACAGUUGUUGGAGAUUGGAGAAAAUAUUUUUUGUAGUAAAAAGGUCAAGUAAGACCAUUCUGUGAGGAAACUAUCCUAAAACUUUUUUUUAAUACUAGCUGGGUUUUCCCCCUCUUCCCUCUUUCAUGCCUUUACAAACAUCACCGUCCCACUGGAUGGUUAACACUUAAAUACACAAGAAAUAGCUUAUUGCAAAUCAAGGGUGUUCUUUAAUUAUUCAAGCGUAUAAAGUUGGAAUAAGACAUCAUCUGCAGUCACUGUUUCUUUUUUUUAUGAGGACAACAACACAGUAGUAAUCCAAAGACAACGAUAACUGACGUACAUUUUUCUAAACUGUCACAUAGAACACAAAACAUGUCUGGAUCUUAUAACCACGCAAUCACUUACAACCAGAUUCCCAUGACAUCACCUCUUAUUUUGAAAUGUAUGAGCAUUUCAUAAUGGGGACAAAUUGCUGGAGUUUAUCGUAUUCUGCUUGUUGUAGGACAUCAACUCCUUAGCUGUUUGUGGCUUUAUUUUCCAUAUUUUUUCAUUGCACAUUGCUCCAAAUGUUUCCAUUAGUUAAACAUUCAGACUAAAGACAUUCCAGUACCUUAGUUUUUUACUAUAGAGUCAAGCUGUUAGUAUGUAACAUGUGCACAAUGUGCUUUAACAUUUGGAGCUAGGUCUUUAUCUUAAUUUUAUAUGUUUUAAUUUUUACUUAUUUAUCUAUUUUGUUGCAUGACACAACUUCUCUGGUGUUCCAUUGCCUCGUUCUUUUUUAGAUGUAAAAUACAUUUUUUAAU